UUCUCUUUGCAGAGGAUGAGGGCCUUGGGAGGUGGAUGUUGUGAGAAAUCCUCGCUGGCCACUGAAGGCCCUGGCUGUCUGUGCUGCUUCUUCCCAGAUCCCAGGAAUCACAACAGCAACAUGAUGUCACGUUUCGUUGGAUUCAUCGAAGAAUGGUUGCAGAUCCUGAGACCUCUUUGUUGCCUCUGAUAAUACAUAAGUACUUCUCUAAUAUUCAUCUGAUUUGAAGUAUGAAUGGUAAUCUCCAUAAACCCUUAAUUAAUAUAAUAUGACAUCUAGUCAAAUAAGAAUGAUAUAAACAUAGACAAAUAAAUGACGUAGUAAGUAUGCUUUAUUUUAGUUAACUUGAGAGAGAGAAAAAAAAAAGGAAAAAAAAAAAGGAAAUCUGUCUCUUGUUCAGAGUACUUAAACCUUUGUCUCUAUAGAGAAGCGGAUCCUAGCCUUCACAGGCCCAGUGGAAGAAAUGUAAAGCAAGUGAAGUAUGGAAAGAAAUACCAUGCUAGCUCUCCCUUUUGGCCUCUUUUCAAUUUUUUUAAAUUUCUUAAGGUUUUUGAGCCUCAGGAACUUGUAACAAACCAUGUCUGCUGCCCUUGACGUUUAUUCUUACAAUGAAGACAGAAAACAUAUGGCAUUUAGCUCCUGGUCAUGUCAUGCCACUAAAAUUUCCAGUCUGUUGAGGCUUUUUAUCUUUCUCUGGGUAAGAGGAGGAAGAGACAUGAUGGAUGCAAGCUGAAGAGGAAUAACUGUACAGUUCUUUAGCAUCUGCUGUGUGUGCAGGAGGCAUCUAUAGAGUUGUGUGUGGGAUGAAGGUCCAUCUGAAACACUGUGUGGCAUUGCCCUUGAUGCAACUCCUUGUUCUGCCAAAUAAUUAAUGUCAUGAUGUACUCCUUCUCAUCUCAGCAGCCCCCAGAUGCAGAAGAGAGCGUUGUUCGUUUUGCAGACAAGAAAGUGGUAAAUGUUUGCUUGCUGCUGGCUGCUUGAUUUGUGGACUCUGCUCUAUGGACAAAAGAGAGCUGGAAGCCAUUUGUGCAGUUCAGAGCUUCCUGUAACCAACUUCUGGAUGUGUUGUGGCUGUGUUGGGCUCAAAUAUUCAGAAAUCAGAAUCUGGCUCCACAAUCUGUUUUCUUCCUCUCUUCCCUCCCCUUUUUGAUCUGCUUCCAAGACCUUCCUGUGGAGUCAGCGAUGAUGGCUGGGCAUUCUGGAUGUCUGAAAAGCCAGUGACUAAGUUAGGUGCAAAAAUAGUGCUUGAGGCUUAUUUUUGGAGAAGUUUACUGGUGUCUGAUAUAGUUUACUGUAUACAAAUAUUGAAACACUAUUUGUCAUACUGCAAAGAAUAGUUACUAAACAGGUUCAUAAUUAUUUGUGCAUUUUGAAUGUGCUAAAGUUGUGUCACAAGCUAUUGCUUAUAAACACAGUGCUUUCCCAAGUCAGCCAACCUCACAGAGGUUGGAGAAGAAAAACUUCCAUUUGAUACCAUCAGCCCAAAGCCUCCUCUCUCUCUGACUCGGUGCCAAGCAGAGCUGGGAGAUCAAAUUAAUUCCUGGAAGUCCUCAUGCUCUCAAACCACAGCUGAAUUUACUCUUCAAGUACCUUUAAACAAGACUAAUUUCAGGGAUCCUGAGGAAUAUUCUCAAGAAUUAAAGUGUUUUUAAAACACGUUUUUCUGUAAACUUUACCUCCCUCCUGCUUCCACCAUGGCAGUGUCAGUCAAAGAUCAAUGCUCUUUUCCAGCAGCUCAGAGCUUUGCACCUUUUGUAGCUGUGUAACAUAACAACCAGUGUUGUUACUUUCCAGCACACUGUCUGAAAUACCUACUUUAUUCAAGCUAUGUCCAACAAGCUUGCCCUCAGAGCAUGAAAUCUGAGAGUGAAACAAACAGAAGAAACCCAGCUUUUGAUCUGGCUUCUCAUCCUUUACGCUCCCACGGGCUGACCUCAGCGCGUGACAGAUGCGGUAUAACGUGCAGCCUGCGCUCGUGCACGCAGCAUGGAGCCCUCUGUCUCCAACAGCCACUGCGCUGCCAAGCACAGCUUUGGCCUGCUCUCCACCUCAAGCACCUUGUCCUUGCUGGGUCCCGAUGGCUGCUGCUGCCCAGGGCAAGGUGCUGCCAUUGCCACCACCUCAGCCUUGUCUGGAUAAGAGGGGCAGUUGGCAGGUGCCACGGAAAUGCUGGGAGGGCUUGACUCAUUUUCCUGCACAAUCAUUUUUACCAAAUCAUGCUCCUUAUCCAUCUCCAGCAUCCUUUCCCAACACAGAAGAUCCUCUGGGAGUUUUGACCCCUGAGGAUGACGGAUGGCUGCGCAGCCCCCUUGCCCAUUGCCCAUCACCCAAGAUGGCGGCCAUCUCGUGCCAGCACCCAGCUGGCACACACAAAAUGGCCGCCCCAAGGUGCCGCAGCGCCCAGCAGCGAGCCUCCUCCCCACAAAGGGGGUUGCCGUCUCCCUGCAGAGCAGCCAAGCGGCAUGUGAGGGUAUGGGCUGCCAGCUGGAAGAGGGCCGGCUGGGAUGUGGGGUGUGAGGAGCAGAGGAAACCUUGUGCACGGUGGGGAGGAGGAGGAAGAGAAGGAGGCCAAGUUCAAGAGGAUGUCAGGGAAGGCCUGAGCAGGUGUGGAGACUUCAGGACCCUAAUUGUCAUACAGCAAAGCAGCAGCUUCUGAAGCCCAGUCGAGUGGGAUUUUUGUACAUGAAGAAGCACUGAAUUGUUCAAGACUUUGCUGUCCCUCACUACUGACUCUGGAUUGAUGACAAACUAGGAGACUCACAAGGCAUUCCCAGUGCUUCAGGCUCCCCUUCCCUUGGAAAGUAACAGAGAACCUGCAAAAGCAAAGAGGAAGCAAAGUGACAACAGCUGAAGCCCAGUCAAAGUAUUUGUACAUGAAGUACCAGUCUUCAGUAAACUGAGAAUCCAUUUCAAACUCCAUUUAAAAUCACAGUGCAGAGGCCACGUUUCUGUUCCUGUCAGUGCCCACAGCCAGAGCGUGGUGGAGGUGCCCGUGGAGAGCCAGGAGUGCAGUUUGUGUCGAAGUUCAGCUCGAGGACUUUGCUGGUUUGGUGCAUCCACUUUGUAACGGGAUCCAGGAUGAAUGGUUUCCUUUUCACAAGACCCUUUCCCUGCCCAUAUUUCACAGGCAGGCCUUUCGAGCCGUUUGCAUUACUCUGAAGCUGCUUUCUUGCUUCUUGGUGACCUUCCAGCUAUAAUUCUGUCGAAGCUGUUCACUAGCUUGCAUUUACAGGCUGUGCAAAGCAUGGUAGGUAGCAGGGAAAACAGGAAGUUUCAAUGCAAUUCCCAGAGGUUAUGUGCAGGACUGAAACCAAAAACUAUCUUAUGUUUGUUUUGGCCCACAUAGCUGGAACCUAGCGCUGGGUAGUUAUUAAUGCUCAGCAAAACAUUCCAGUGGGUACAUACCCACGAACCUGCUGACUUCUCGUUGCUGUAUUUAAAGAGAUGCUGUAGAAAAUAAAACCUAUCCAGUGAACUUUAACUGCACUGCAUCUGUUCAGAUGAUGUGGUUUCUAAGAAUAUGUUUUUCUAGAGCUCCCGUUACUUUUCUGAUCAUUCCUUGGGCCAGGGCAGCAGAACUGUCCACACAAAUACCUCCCGUCUCCUACGUGCCUUUUGACUUGUUUAUUUGGGAGGAGGAAAAGGAAGAGAAACAACUCCUACACCAUGAGAGCACGCUGAAGUUUUCCUCUGUGGAGUCCUUCAUGUUGUUACCUCCUGCAGUGCAGCACAGACCGCUUGCUAGCACAGGUGGAUUUUUUUUAACAUCCCUAAUCCAUUUUCCUCCUCUCUUUGCAAAUACUUAUGGUUGUUUCACCUUCCCUUGACCUAAACGCUAAUGUCUGGCUUUGGUUGGAAUACAAUUCUAAACCAGGAAAUAGGAGUCAGUAUCUCAUGUCUGAUCAGUCAUCAACUCUAGCCAGUACAAGAAAAAGACUUAAAAAAUCUUACAAUAACCAAAAUCAAAACUCAUGCUGAUCUAUCAAGAAAUCAACUCUGGGAGUUCUCUCUGUCCUCAGAAUGUAGAGGUUGGACUGUUUUUAAGAAAAUGAGAAGACCAAGAUUUUAUCUUAAAAUUGUUAUCACAUUUGGUGAUUUAGGGCCCACCUGGAGUUGCACAGUGCGUUUCAAAGAGUUUACUCCCCUGGGAGAGUGGCAAUGAUUUUCGCAUGUAAAAAGGAAUUUCUGGUACUAAAGCCUCCUACCAGAUUUAAUUAACGCUCUCACUGGCCUGCGUUAACUUCUCAGAAAGUGCUUCUCAUCUGGGUCUUGUGAUGAUGUCUUAGGGUAUCCGUAAACACUGCAUGCUGCGGAAUGCUGCUAUCGCAUGGCUGUCUGCCCUGCUCACUCCAGUACAUCUUUCUCUCAUAACACAAGUCAACUGUAGUGAUAACAUUAAAAACAAGGCUGUUGAAACAAGAUUUCAGGUCAUGCUUUUGGCUACUGAAUUGGAAACAACCAGUUACAAGCAAAACAGAUGUAAAAACAGUCACUAUCUACUUAGCA